GGGGAAUAUUGCACAAUGGGGGAAACCCUGAUGCAGCAACGCCGCGUGAGUGAAGAAGUAUUUCGGUAUGUAAAGCUCUAUCAGCAGGGAAGAGAAUGACGGUACCUGACUAAGAAGCCCCGGCUAACUAC
rnacentral:rRNA from 1 species